rnacentral:rRNA from 1 species
GACGAACGCUGGCGGCGUGCUUAACACAUGCAAGUCGAACGGAAAGGCCCUGCUGUUGUGGGGUGCUCGAGUGGCGAACGGGUGAGUAACACGUGAGUAACCUGCCCUUGACUUUGGGAUAACUUCAGGAAACUGGGGCUAAUACCGGAUAGGAGCUCCUGCUGCAUGGUGGGGGUUGGAAAGUUUCGGCGGUUGGGGAUGGACUCGCGGCUUAUCAGCUUGUUGGUGGGGUAGUGGCUUACCAAGGCUUUGACGGGUAGCCGGCCUGAGAGGGUGACCGGCCACAUUGGGACUGAGAUACGGCCCAGACUCCUACGGGAGGCAGCAGUGGGGAAUAUUGCACAAUGGGCGGAGGCCUGAUGCAGCAACGCCGCGUGCGGGAUGACGGCCUUCGGGUUGUAAACCGCUUUCGCCUGUGACGAAGCGUGAGUGACGGUAAUGGGUAAAGAAGCACCGGCUAACUACGUG